UCCUCCGAGGGCGCACGUUGUGGAGACUCAGCUACGGGAAUGAGGUGACGAUACAGUUCUGGGCUGCCUCGUCUUAGGGAGGCACCGUUUAUUAUGGCAAGUUCUGUCUUCCUUGGCUGUUAUGGUCUGUGAUGUGUGCCUCUGGUUUAAUUUCAGGGCCUCAGCAGCAGCUCAAACCAUGUGGACCGCAGAUGAGAUUGCGCGGCUGUGUUACGAGCACUAUGGGCUCAGGCUGCCCAAGCAAGGGAAACCUGAGCCCAACCGUGAGUGGACUUUACUAGCAGCCAUGGUGAAGAUACAGCCUGCAGCUGACCAGGCCUGCAACUCUCCUGACAAACCAGCACAAGUGAUGAAGGAAGUUGUCUCAAUGGGAACAGGAACGAAAUGCAUAGGCCAGUCCAAAAUGAGGAAGAGUGGAGACAUCCUCAAUGAUAGCCAUGCUGAGAUCAUAGCCAGAAGGAGUUUCCAAAGGUACCUUCUCCAUCAGCUCCACUUAGCAGCCGCCCUGAAGGAGGAUAGCAUCUUUGUCCCAGGAACUCGGAGAGGACUGUGGAAACUCAGACCAGACCUCUUGUUUGUGUUUUUCUCCAGCCAUACACCCUGUGGAGAUGCCUCCAUUAUUCCGAUGCUUGAGUUUGAAGAUCAGCCUUGCUGUCCUGUCAGUAGAAAUUGGGCCAAUAACCCAUCAGUAAAAGCCAGUGGUAACCUGGAAGCUCCUGAAGAUAAAAGGAAAUGUGAAGACCCGGACAGUCCUGUGACCAAAAAGAUGAGGCUUGAGCCUGGGACUCCAGAUGGUGUGGCUCACCAUCAGAGUUUUGGCAAUCAGGAAAGCAGCCCAGACCCGCCAAGUGUCAGCAGAUGUAAUCUCACCACAGAGGAACUGGCCACUGUCACUGGAAUGGCCCCCAGUGGUGCCAAAGUGGUAGACGUUUACAGAACAGGAGCCAAGUGUGUGCCCGGAGAAGCUGGAGACUCGGGAAAGCCUGGUGCUGCAUAUCACCAGGUAGGGCUGCUCCGAGUGAAGCCAGGCCGGGGAGACAGGACUUCCUCCAUGUCCUGCAGUGACAAGUUGGCACGGUGGAAUGUCCUCGGAUGCCAAGGGGCACUGUUGAUGCACUUCCUAGAAGAGCCCAUCUACCUGUCGGCUGUGGUCAUUGGGAAGUGCCCAUACAGCCAGGAGGCCAUGCAGAGAGCACUGACUGGGAGGUGUCACUACAUCUCGGCUUUACCCAAAGGCUUUGGAGUUCAAGAAGUGAAAAUACAGCAGUCAGGUUUACUGUUUGAACAGAGCCGCUGCGCAGUGCAGGUGAAAAGAGCUGACGGCCCAGGCCGACUUGUUCCUUGUGGGGCAGCCAUCAGCUGGAGUGCAGUUCCUGAGCAGCCAUUAGAUGUCACUGCCAAUGGCUUUCCGCAGGGAACAACAAAGAAAGGAAUCCAAAGCCUUCAGGCCAGAUCCCGAAUCAGCAAAGUGGAACUCUUUAGGUCCUUCCAGAAGCUGCUAAACAGUAUUUCAGAGGACAAGUGGCCAGAUUCCCUCAGGUGAUGCUAUUGACCCAUGUUUUUUCAUAUUUAGGAAGACUUUGGGUUGAAUUCUGCUUAAAGAAUGGCAGGAAGCUUUGGCAGGAAUGGUGUUUCAGUAAGCAAGGGGGCGUUUCUUACUGACCACAUGCUCUUCUGUCCCACAGCCCCACUUGCACGUUGUGUAUGAUCUGAGGUGUAGAGGAUGGUACAGAGUCACAAGAGACUAGGGGUAGAAUUGGGGCUUGGCCCGUUCCAGGCCCUCCUUUUAUUCCACCUCCAGACGGAGAACAUUGUGGAAAUGUGAGUGCUUCAGGAGCAAUAUAUUCUGUUAAGAACAUUACUGUCUUCUCUUUUUUCUUUUGUUCACAUCAGUGAUUGUGAACUGCAGCUCCACAAUUUAAAUCACUUCCACACGGGAAUGUAGAGAACUAUAAAACCACUCCUUGGGCAGGUGGGUGGUUGCAAUUCAGGUGCAGAGUUGGGCCAAACUUCACAGGGUAAGAGCACAGUCCUACAAACUGCCCUCACUUCAGAUGCCAGCCACAAGCUCAGGGGCCCCCAAGCCACUCACACUUCUGAUCAACUGACUACAAAUUCCGGGGUUCCCCUUACUCCCUCAGGUUCGAUAAUGCACUAAAACAAAACUCACAGAACCCAGGAAAGCCCUAUACUUACACUUACUUUUUAUUGUAAAGGGUACAAAUCAGGACCAGCUAAAAGAAGGGACACAUAGGGCAAGGUGUGGGAGGGUCCCAAACACAAUGCUUCUGUGUCCUCAGGAUGUGUGACCCUCCCAGCACAUCACUGUAUCACCAACCAGAAAGCUGACCCGAACUGCAGGGUCCAGGGUUUUCUAUUGGGAUUUCAUUAAUAAGCAUGAUUGAUUGAAUCCUUGGCCACAUAACGUGAUUGAACUCGAUCUCCAUGUCCCCCUACCCCCUAGGAAGUCAGACUGUUAUCAGGAGGCUCAAAGCUUACAGCUCUCUAAUCCUGUAGUUGGUCUUUCUGGCAUGACCAACCCCACCCUGAAACUAUCAUUUUACCGUGAGUCACUUCAUUGUGUGAUCUGAGGGAUCCACCAUGAAUAACAAAGACAUUCCUAUCACUUGGGAAAUUCUAAGGGUUUAGAGGUUUCCUCCCAGGAACUGGCAACCAAGACUAGCCAAAUUCUUUAUUAUACAACAGUGGGGAGCUAAGGAGGAACUGGCAGCUGCUGUGUGAAGAGGCUAGCCUUUGUUGCCACCAUGAUGCCUACUCAGUAUUGAUGCCCUCCAGUCAUCUGUGGGUGCGGAAGCUAGAGACAUACCAAGAGUACAAGGAAGCUGCAUCUGCUUACCAGG